rnacentral:tRNA from 1 species
GGUGGUGUAGCUCGUGGUAGAGUGUAUACUUAACAUGUGCAGAGUCCUGGGUUCAAUCCCUAGCACCCUG